rnacentral:rRNA from 1 species
GACGGAGGAUGCAAGCGUUAUCCGGAAUGAUUGGGCGUAAAGCGUCCGCAGGUGGCAGUUCAAGUCUGCUGUCAAAGACCGGGGCUUAACCUCGGAAAGGCAGUGGAAACUACAUAGCUAGAGUAUGGUUGGGGCAGAAGGAAUUCCUGGUGUAGCGGUGAAAUGCGUAGAGAUCAGGAAGAACAUCGGUGGCGAAGGCGCUUUGCUGGACCAUAACUGACACUCAGGGACGAAAGCUAGGGUAGCGAAAGGG